AUGCCUAAGAUAAAGACAAGCCGUGUGGAAUACCCCGAAGGAUGGGUGCUUAUCGAGCCCACAAUCCGUGAGCUGGAUGCCAAAAUGAGAGAAGCUGAAAACGAUACACAUGACGGGAAGAGGAAGUGUGAAGCACUCUGGCCAAUUUUCCGCAUUUCUCAUCAAAGAAGCCGUUACAUAUAUGAUCUUUUCUAUAAAAGGAAGGAAAUAUCAAAGGAGCUGUAUGAGUUCUGCCUGGACCAGGGUUAUGCAGACCGUAAUCUGAUUGCAAAGUGGAAAAAGCCGGGUUACGAGCGCCUCUGCUGCCUCCGCUGCAUCCAGACCCGAGACCACAACUUUGCGACUACAUGCGUGUGCCGGGUCCCCAAGCACCUGAGGGAGGAGCAGGUAAUCGAAUGCGUCCACUGUGGCUGCAAGGGAUGUGCCAGCGGCGACUAA
rnacentral:rRNA from 1 species